GACGAACGCUGGCGGCGUGCUUAACACAUGCAAGUCGAACGGAAAGGCCCUGCUUUUGUGGGGUGCUCGAGUGGCGAACGGGUGAGUAACACGUGAGUAACCUGCCCUUGACUUUGGGAUAACUUCAGGAAACUGGGGCUAAUACCGGAUAGGAGCUCCUGCUUCAUGGUGGGGGUUGGAAAGUUUCGGCGGUUGGGGUUGGACUCGCGGCUUAUCAGCUUGUUGGUGGGGUAGUGGCUUACCAAGGCUUUGACGGGUAGCCGGCCUGAGAGGGUGACCGGCCACAUUGGGACUGAGAUACGGCCCAGACUCCUACGGGAGGCAGCAGUGGGGAAUAUUGCACAAUGGGCGGAAGCCUGAUGCAGCAACGCCGCGUGCGGGAUGACGGCCUUCGGGUUGUAAACCGCUUUCGCCUGUGACGAAGCGUGAGUGACGGUAAUGGGUAAAGAAGCACCGGCUAACUACGUG
rnacentral:rRNA from 1 species